rnacentral:snRNA from 1 species
UUCCUUCCGCAGCACAUAUACUAAAAUUGGAACAAAACAGAGAAAUUAGCAUGGCCCCUGCGCAAGGAAGACACGCGAAUUCUGAAGCAGGUGUUU